CCCGCUCCGCUGCCGUCCGCCUCCCGGGCAGACGGCGGCGGCGCGGCGGGGCGCGAUGGCGGCCGGGCUGGGGCCGUGGCUGCUGGCCUUGGCCUUGGGGCCGGCGGGAGUGUGUGCACAGUGGAGACUGGAAGCAUCUGGCGGAGGUGAGCGAGCACCUGGGGAGUCCGUGCAGCUCUCCUGCCAGGGAUCCGGCUUCAGCUUCAGAAGUUUUACUGUUCGGUGGUACCGUCAGAGACUUGCUGGCCGUCUUGAGUGGCUGUCGUUUAUUGAUGCCACCUCAUAUAUUAUAAGAUCCAGCCCAGAGUUGGACGGUCGAUCCUCAGUCUCUCGAGACAAUUCCCGCUCUGUGUCCUACCUGUCUCUCCAUGCCCUGCGCCCACACGACUCAGCGCACUACUUCUGUGCUGCUCACACGGGAACAGGAAAUCCUGCAGAGCUGUAACAAAAAUCCCCUUUCUUAGACACAGCCGUGGCUGCAGAACUGCAGUGCUGGCAGGAGCUGGAGCUGCUCAUGCAGAGCGAGGAGACAUCACUGCACACCACAGAUGACCCUGUCCUUUCUGCCAGGUCUCCCAUGACUUUUGAUUCACAAAAGCAGUGUUGUGACCUGAGGAUUAUAUUCACAAUAUUUCUGGUCACCCUGUCAGCUUGGCCACUUUACCUGCCUUCCUACCUGCAGCAUGUGUGCACCUGCUUUUAGUUUCCUUCCUUUCUUGUGUACUCAAAAGCACUUGGGCACUUCUAGCAACAGCAUUGCCUACUUCCAUCACCGGUGUGGAUGGCUUUUUCCAUGUUUCUCUGUGAGCAAAGCAGUGACUGAAUAGAUCUGAUUCUGGUUUCUGGGUGGUGGUUUCUGGGACAUUUCACAGUGACAGAAUGCAAGGAAUGCAGUCUGCAGCGUUGCAGCAAGCAGGGCAAUCUGAGACCCUUCAAAUUACAUAGGUUACUCUGAAAACAAUAUCUGCUAUGUGAUUCCAAAGAAGCUUCAACAGGUAACAAGAGCUCAGUAACACUAUUUGAUAGAGCAGAAUCACAGCUGCAGGAUAUUAUCUUUCAACAGUGUCAACACCAUUAGCUGUGCAUUUUCACUAGUGGUGAAGAAGAUCCUUUGUGACAUGCUGGUAAAUACCUGCACCAGUGCAGGUGAGCCACAGUUUCACAGCUGUUAUGCUGGCAUUGUUCCCAGGGAAAUGUAGCCCACAGACUACAUCUCUCAUCAGCUGAAGGGAUGGCAGCCCAAAGGUGCAACACACAAACUGUAUCAUGGUUGUGGAAGGACUGGUCAGCCAAAAUUGUCAUUGUGCACCAUGGUCUUCAUAUUGGUAUGGUGUCUGGCGUUAUCAUGUUGCAAUAGAAUGGUUGCCUUCUUCUCUAGCCAAAUUGUGAAGGUUUGAAUCUGCUGAAGGUUUGAGCCUGAGACUGAGUCUGAGCUGAUGGAUUGUCCAGAUUCUUGUAAAUCUACAUGGAUCUCUCCUUUCCAAUUGCAAAAGUCAGUGAGCAUCAGUUUAAUUCCUGAGGGCUGUGUCUUGAACUUUCUCUUUGAUAGGGAAUUCUCAUGUCACCCCUCCAUGAACUCUGGCUCUUUUACUCUGUCUUAUAGAUGUGACAAUAUGUUUUGUCAUUGUUUAUGAUGUGAUUUAGGAAACUGUCACCUCGAGCCUCGUAUGGGUUCGGUUGUUCCUGACAAACUUGCUUACACUCUUCUUUCUGUUCCAGCGUGAGCCUUCAGCGUUUCCAUCUGAUGCAUACUUUGCUCUAUUCCAAUGCUGACAUUGUUGUUUUCAAUGCAUGAAAUCCAAUACUCAGCUCUGUACACAGGUUCCUGUUUGUAAUCCACUGAUUCAUACAGUCAAGCUGAUCCAGACACUUCAUGUGGCUUGGCUUUCCUGUUGGUGUUGCCACUACUGUUAAAACAAAAAACCCACUGCCUCACUGAGUUCACAUUCAAUUUUUCGUCUCCAUAAAUGUUCAGCAGGUGUCA